UACGAUUGGUGCAAGUGUUAUUCCACGUGAUUGGGCGUAAAGGGUAUGUAGAUAGUUUUUUACUUUUGACGAAAAAUUCUCCAUAAUAUGAUAAUGGUAUUUAUUUAAUACUAUGAAACUUGAGUAUGAAGAUGAAACUGGAACGUAUAAAUGAGAGUUGAAAUGCGUUGGUAAAUUAAACGGAACACUUACUGCGGAGGCAUUUUUCUAGAUCAUACUGACAUUGAGGUACUAAAGUAUGGGGAUCAAAUGGG
rnacentral:rRNA from 1 species